GACGAACGCUGGCGGCGUGCUUAACACCUGCAAGUCGAACGAAGUGGCGAACGGGUGAGUAACGCGUAAUCAACCUGCCCUUCAGAGGGGGACAACAGUUGGAAACGACUGCUAAUACCGCAUACUGAAGGAGGGGAUUGCGUCUGAUUAGCUAGUUGGAGGGGUAACGGCCCACCAAGGCGAUGAUCAGUAGCCGGGCUGAGAGGAUGAACGGCCACAUGGGGACUGAGACACGGCCCAGACGCCGACGGGAGGCAGCAGUGGGGAAUCUUCCGCAAUGGACGAAAGUCUGACGGAGCAACGCCGCGUGAGUGAUGACGGCCUUCGGGUUGUAAAGCUCUGUUAAUCGGGACGCGGUACCGGAAUAGAACGCCACGGCUAACGACGAGCAAGCAGCCGCGGAAUAC
rnacentral:rRNA from 1 species